rnacentral:rRNA from 1 species
GACGAACGCUGGCGGCGUGCUUAACACAUGCAAGUCGAACGGAAAGGCCCUGCUUUUGUGGGGUGCUCGAGUGGCGAACGGGUGAGUAACACGUGAGUAACCUGCCCUUGACUUUGGGAUAACUUCAGGAAACUGGGGCUAAUACCGGAUAGGAGCUCCUGCUGCAUGGUGGUGGUUGGAAAGUUUCGGCGGUUGGGGAUGGACUCGCGGCUUAUCAGCUUGUUGGUGGGGUAGUGGCUUACCAAGGCUUUGACGGGUAGCCGGCCUGAGAGGGUGACCGGCCACAGUGGGACUGAGAUACGGCACAGACUCCAACGGGAGGCAGCAGUGGGGAAUAUUGCAAAAUGGGCGGAAGCCUGAUGCAGCAACGCCGCGUGCGGGAUGACGGCCUUCGGGUUGUAAACCGCUUUCGCCUGUGACGAAGCGUGAGUGACGGUAAUGGGUAAAGAAGCACCGGCUAACUACGUG